rnacentral:rRNA from 1 species
ACGAACGCUGGCGGCGUGCUUAACACCUGCAAGUCGAACGGAAAGGCCCUGCUUGCAGGGUGCUCGAGUGGCGAACGGGUGAGUAACACGUGGGUGAUCUGCCCCUUACUUUGGGAUAAGCCUGGGAAACUGGGUCUAAUACUGGAUAGGACCAUGCUGUCGGUGGUGUGGUGGAAAGAUUAGUUUCGGUAAGGGAUGAGCUCGCGGCCUAUCAGCUUGUUGGUGGGGUAAUGGCCUACCAAGGCGUCGACGGGUAGCCGGCCUGAGAGGGUGGACGGCCACAUUGGGACUGAGAUACGGCCCAGACUCCUACGGGAGGCAGCAGUGGGGAAUAUUGCACAAUGGGCGCAAGCCUGAUGCAGCGACGCCGCGUGGGGGAUGACGGCCUUCGGGUUGUAAACUCCUUUCAGCCAUGACGAAGCCCUUGUGGUGACGGUAGUGGUAGAAGAAGCACCGGCUAACUACGUG